GGUCUGGUGGCGGAUGGUCCGCGCCUGUGCACGAUGGAAUAGACGGAGGGAUUCUGCAGGAGACGCUCGUUCGAUUCGAGCCUGGGCCC